rnacentral:tRNA from 1 species
CAAAACCUGCGAAACACUAAACGCAUCUCCUGAAUGCAACUCAGACACUUUAAUUUAAGCUAAGGUCUC